UACGAAGGGGGCUAGCGUUGUUCGGAAUUACUGGGCGUAAAGCGCACGUAGGCGGGUCGUUAAGUCAGUGGUGAAAUCCCAGAGCUCAACUCUGGAACUGCCUUUGAUACUGGCGACCUAGAGUUCGGAAGAGGUUAGUGGAAUUCCCAGUGUAGAGGUGAAAUUCGUAGAUAUUGGGAAGAACACCAGUGGCGAAGGCGGCUAACUGGUCCGAUACUGACGCUGAGGUGCGAAAGCGUGGGGAGCAAACAGG
rnacentral:rRNA from 1 species